GUGAUUGCUUUGGCGGCACAUAUGUAAAAUUGGAACAACACAGAGAUUAACAUGGUCCCUGUGCAAGGAUGACACUCAGAUUCAUGAAUUACUCCACACUCUU